rnacentral:misc_RNA from 1 species
AGGUGCACUACCUCAGCACCUCUCGUCAGCUGCUACGAUUUUUUUGACGCCAGUCAACGGCGGAACGAGAAGAGCCUGACACGUGUGCGUUUCUGUGGCUCCUCUGCUGCGCGACGCGUGUCCGCAGUUUCGGACGUUUUGCAAGACUAAAGGAAGCGUUCGUCAGCGCGGCCAUACGAAUUUUCGGCAGCAACAAAAGAACGACAGCUCGUAAUGCGCUCGGUAAGGUGGAUGAGACGCGCGGCCGCGGGAGCCGUUUCCGGUGAUGCGGCAACGGCGCUGUCCGCCGGCGCUUCCAAGCCAGCGGCAGCCACUGCAUCUACAUCGGGCAUUGUUUCGAGUAGGAAUGAAGGCAUGGGCGGAGUACCACCGCCGCCGGCACCACCUGUCAACGGCGCAAGGCGGACGAUAGGUUCAACAAAGGCAUGGCACACGCUGACCUUCAGGCCUUGGCAGCUGCACACUGUGAAAGAUGCUAAGGCUCGAUCGAGCAUGCCGACAACGGUGCUCUACCACGGCGAUCAACUCGGCCCCCGCCCUCUCGUUAUUCUUGACCACAGUGUCGCUCGGUUGGAGCAGUCUGCGACGGCCGUGCUAGAUGCGUGUCAGGAGGCCGCGAAGAGAUACGAAGCAAUGCUCUCUUCGCUUGCAUGGGACCACGGCGCCGUCUUCGUUCCGCUGCAGGUGUCCAUUGGCGAGAUCAACGUGAUGGAGCAGUCGUGCCGCCAUGUCUGUGCUGUGCUGGAUGCGAUGGACGUGCAGUGGAGUCACGUGCUGGCGCACUCUUACGGUGCCUUGGUGGCAGCUCGCAUGGCUGCGUCGACUGCGUAUCCACAUCGCAUUGGGUCCCUGCUGUUGCUGGACACCCCACUGGUGACGGAACAACUCGUGCGCAACACGAAGCAGCGAGAGGAGAUCGCAAAGGCGAGGAAGGACGUCAACGUUCCCCCCGCCGAGCUCUCGUUCGCCAUAGAGUCGCUGAGGAGUGCCCUGGAGACAACUCUGCCGUACCCGGCAGCGGCGGACAAGUCUCUCUACGAGGAUCACCUCUUCUCAGCCUCUGUAUUUCGGGAAAAGGGCUUGGUGCGAGAUGAGCACCGCUACGUGCCCGUGCGGCACCUCGCUCAGGUGCACCACCCUCUUCAGCUGCUUGUGCCGGUAAAACAGCCCAUUACGGAUGUUGCAAUUCAUAAGGAGUUCUUUGGUCUGCGAAGGCCGACCGUCAUUAAGACAGCGGAUAAUCACGAGGAUUUGCUCUCCGCGAAGUGCGCAGACGAGUUGGCGGAUGUGGUGCGGGCGUGGAUGCAGCGGUUUGAGCCGGACGUUGUCAUGAAGCGGCGCUUCGAGAAGGCCGCGAAGGAGAUGGCGCAGCUCAUGGGCAGCAGCGCGCCGUUUGGCGAGAAGGACGAUGGAAACACCAAGAAGUCGGAGAAGAAGGAAAAGAAGAAGGGCAGGCAGUAGGCAUACUCUCCUGUAUGCACCUUGGCGAGUUCCGAAGCGUGCCUCUCACUCGAGUAGACACACACACACACACACACACGGGAGUCGAUGCGGACACAUCUGGGGCGACGAUCUACUGACAGGGAGUGUUCUCUUGCCUCCCUCUCUCUUAACUGGCGCCCCUUCUUGCUGUUUUGUUGUGUUUUUGCUCUCCCUCUUUUCCGCUUUGGCCAUGGCGAUGUGAUGGCUACCGUGUGACCUCGUCACCGGUGCCCUACGCUGUUGGGGUUGUCCGUGCUUGUUGUGAUGGAAGUGAUGGACUGCAUCGGUGGUUUUCGUCACACCCCAUGACGAAGACCCGACAAACAAACGAAAACAAGAAAAGGGUAGGGGCGAAGUGGAGCGUCAGAAAGGUAAAGAAGGGGAGAUGGAAAGGCCGAUGCUGUCACGGCUCGAGUCUCCAGCACGGCCAUCAGAAGAUCCAGACGGAGAUGCGCUGUAGUGGCACCGCUGAAGUUUUAUUAUUAUUUUUUCGUGCUCCUUUCUCUCCUUCUUUUCUGCCCCCUUGUCCCCCUUUCCUGUGUCGUAUCUCUCGUUGGUCGCUG